rnacentral:rRNA from 1 species
CGCACCUUGCGCUCCUUGGUAUUCCUUGGAGCAUGCCUGUUUGAGUAUCAUGAGCAAAUCUACAAAGUCGAUCCUUUUGUUAAUUCAAUUGGUUUUGCUUUGGACUUGGAGGUCUUGCAGAUUUCACCAUCUGCUCCUCUUAAAUGCAUUAGCUGGAUCUCAGUAUUUAUGCUUGGUUCCACUCGGCGUGAUAAGUAUCACUCGCUGAGGACACUGGUAAAAAGGUGGCCAGGAAAAUACUGAUUGAACCGCUUCUAACGGUCUAUUAACUUAGACAAUUACCCUUAAGUUUGAUCUCAAAUCAGGUAGGACUACCCGCUGAACUUAA